rnacentral:rRNA from 1 species
AGUGAACGCUGGCGGUAGGCCUAACACAUGCAAGUCGAACGGCAGCGCAGUAAGAGCUUGCUCUUACGGGUGGCGAGUGGCGGACGGGUGAGGAAUACAUCGGAAUCUACUUUUUCGUGGGGGAUAACGCAGGGAAACUUACGCUAAUACCGCAUACGACCUACGGGUGAAAGCAGGGGAUCUUCGGACCUUGCGCGAUUGAAUGAGCCGAUGUCGGAUUAGCUAGUUGGCGGGGUAAAGGCCCACCAAGGCGACGAUCCGUAGCUGGUCUGAGAGGAUGAUCAGCCACACUGGAACUGAGACACGGUCCAGACUCCUACGGGAGGCAGCAGUGGGGAAUAUUGGACAAUGGGCGCAAGCCUGAUCCAGCCAUACCGCGUGGGUGAAGAAGGCCUUCGGGUUGUAAAGCCCUUUUGUUGGGAAAGAAAAGCAGCAGGUUAAUACCCCGCUGUUCUGACGGUACCCAAAGAAUAAGCACCGGCUAACUUCGUG